UUUUUUCUUUUUUUGUUGUUCGUAAGGAAUCCGCCCUGAACAGGGUGACUAACCAAGGAGAACUCUGCAUUUUUUUGUCGGUAUCAGAGAUGGUUCCAGAUCAGUGUGGAUGUGGCAGGAGACUCCACUCUUGACUCUAACUGAGAAGGCAUGGCCCUGAGACAGGCUAGUACAGGGAAACCAGAAUGUCUGGCAGAUGGGCCCCAAUUGAGCAGAGGAAGAACAUUUAAGACACAUGUUUUGCCUCUUUGGGAGGUGACUCAAGAACUGAGACGUGGUCUGGGCCUUCAAGGAACUAGAGAAGGCUGCGGCAGAGGAUAUGAGAUUUAAGCUAGCAACAAGAAACUCAGACUAGACCUCACAGGCUCAAUGGAGCCAGUCUUUUAGAAGAAUGUCAUCAAGAAAAUGUCAUUUGAGAAAACUCAAGAGAAAAACUUGAGAGCAGAAAUGAACCCAGGAAAAUAUUGCUUAAAUAUAUUUAAACAGUGAAAUGGAUUGGCUACUAUCAGCCUCUUUCUUGAAACAUUAUUUGGUACAUUUUUUAAAUAUAAGAGAUAUAUAAUCAUUAUGUAAUACUUUGACAUACUGUAGAGCAUAUCACAUCUAUUACUGUGAAGCCUAUUUAUCCUUAUUUUAAUUCUGUCCUUACCUUGGGCUGAAACCACCCUACACGUGAGAAGUAAGAACAAAUCUAGUACUUCUCAGAGUGUGUUCCAGGAAACAGUGCCAACAGCAUUGCACUUGUUAAAAACUCAAAUCUUCACAUGCUAUCCUAGACCUACUGAAUUAGAAACUCUGGGGACAGAGUCUACCAGUUUGGGUUUUCAGUCUUCCAACUGGUUCUAAAGAACUCUAAAGUUUGAGAACCACUGCCUUAGGCAUUUUAGAACUAGGCCUCUUUAGAGCCUGUUUAGGAAAAAAAUAUAAUUUUUUUUCUGUUUUCUGUCUCUUCAUGGUACUAUUCUCAUUUCUGAUUACCAGUGUGUAGUAGUAGUUUCCUACACCAAACAAUUCUGUGACAGCAGUUGGGAGUCCUACAAUUUAACUCAAUUCUGACACCACCUGGAGAUAGUGUCAGAUUCCACAGGUUAAGGCCUCAGCCCCACAAGACCUAGCACUGCCCCCCUCAACUUCACACACCAAUCACAAGUUCAAGCUGUCACCUGUACAUCUGACCAACCAGCUGUAAAUCAGAUUAUUUUAUAUAACCUCCUUCCUGGGGCUUGAUUAAUUUGCUAAAGCAGCUCAUAGAACUGAGGAAAAACAGUUUAUGUACUAGACUCACCAGUUUAUUAUAAAAGGAUAUAAGCUAGGAAUAGUCAGAUGGAAGAGAUGCAUAGGGUAAGGUAUGGGGAAAGGAGCAAAGAACUUCCAGGAUCUCUCUGGACUCGCCACCAUCUUAGCACUUCCACAUCCACCAACCGGAAAGCUCUCCAAAUCCAUCCUUUUUGGGGUUUUUAUGGAGGCUUCAUUAAGUAUGCAUGAUUGAUUAAAUCAUUGGCCAUUGAUUCAAUCUCUAGUCCCUCUCCCUCCCUAGGGGUCAGAGGUGGGUGGUGGGACUGAAAAUUCCAAGCCUCUAAUCACACAAUGUUUCCCCUGGCAACCAACCCCCCCCCCCCCCCCAUCCUUAGGAAUUACCCAAAAGUCACUGCAUUAACAUAAACUAAGAAGUGGUUGGAAGGGGCUUGUUAGGAAUAACAAGACACCCAUUUCAUUCUGGAGCUCUUUCAGGAGCUGAGAAGGAAAGAUGCCCCUGUAAACUCUUAUUACUAAGGAAAUUAUGAAGGUUUUAGGAGUUAUGUGUCAGGAACCAUGGAGAAAGACCAAAUAUAUAUUUAAUAUAAACCACAAUAUCACAGAGGCCCAGGAGAGAUCUGUGUUAUAGGCCAGGGAGGCAGCAUGGUGGUUUUGUCAGUUCAGGCUGCUAUAACAAAAUACCAUAGACCAGGUGCUUAUCAACAACAGAAAUUUCUUUCUUCUUCUUCUUCUUUUUUUUUUUUUUUUUUUAAGAUUUUAUUUUCA
rnacentral:lncRNA from 1 species